rnacentral:tRNA from 1 species
GGUGGGAUGGCCGAGAGGCUGAAGGCACUCGCCUGCUAAGCGAGUAGGGGGGCAUAACCUCCCUCCAGGGUUCGAAUCCCUGUCCCACCGCCA